rnacentral:rRNA from 1 species
GAUGAACGCUGGCGGCGUGCCUAAUACAUGCAAGUCGAGCGAACAGACGCUGAGCUUGCUCCUCUUACGUUACCGGCGGACGGGUGAUUAACACUUGGAUCACCUACCUAUUAUACUGGUAUAACUUCGGGAAACCGACGCUAAUACCGCAUAAUAUUUUGAACCUCUUGGUUCAAUAGUUUAAGACGGUUUUGCUGUCACUUAUAGAUGGAUCUGCGCCGCAUUAGCUAGUUGGUAAGGUAACGGCUUACCAAGCCAACGAUGCGUAGACGACGUGAGAGGGGGAUAGGCCACACUGGAGGGGGGACACGGACCAGACUCCUACGGGAGGGAGCAGUAGGGAAUGUUCCGCAAUGGGGGAAAGCUUGACGGAGCAAGGGCGCGUGAGUGAUGAAGGUCUUCGGAGCGUAAAACUCUGUUAUUGGGGAAGAACAAAUGUGAAAGGAACUGAGCACGUAGUGACGGUACCUAAAGAGAAAGCAACGGCUAACUACGUG